rnacentral:rRNA from 1 species
CUGCCCAAGAGACUGGGAUAACACCUGGAAACAGAUGCUAAUACCGGAUAACAACACCAGACGCAUGUCUAGAGUUUGAAAGAUGGUUCUGCUAUCACUCUUGGAUGGACCUGCGGUGCAUUAGCUAGUUGGUAAGGUAACGGCUUACCAAGGCAAUGAUGCAUAGCCGAGUUGAGAGACUGAUCGGCCACAUUGGGACUGAGACACGGCCCAAACUCCUACGGGAGGCAGCAGUAGGGAAUCUUCCACAAUGGACGAAAGUCUGAUGGAGCAACGCCGCGUGAGUGAAGAAGGGUUUCGGCUCGUAAAGCUCCGUUGGUAGUGAAGAAAGAUAGAGGUAGUAACUGGCCUUUAUUUGACGGUAAUUACUUAGAAAGUCACGGCUAACUACGUGCCAGCAGCCGCGGUAAUACGUAGGUGGCAAGCGUUGUCCGGAUUUAUUGGGCGUAAAGCGAGUGCAGGCGGUUCAAUAAGUCUGAUGUGAAAGCCUUCGGCUCAACCGGAGAAUUGCAUCAGAAACUGUUGAACUUGAGUGCAGAAGAGGAGAGUGGAACUCCAUGUGUAGCGGUGGAAUGCGUAGAUAUAUGGAAGAACACCAGUGGCGAAGGCGGCUCUCUGGUCUGCAACUGACGCUGAGGCUCGAAAGCAUGGGUAGCGAACAGGAUUAGAUACCCUGGUAGUCCAUGCCGUAAAC